rnacentral:rRNA from 1 species
AGGGUUUGAUUAUGGCUCAGGAUGAACGCUGGCGGCGUGCUUAACACAUGCAAGUCGAGCGAAGCGGCUGAAUUGAUUCUUCGGAUGAUUUUCAGUUGACUGAGCGGCGGACGGGUGAGUAACGCGUGGGUGACCUGCCCCAUACCGGGGGAUAACAGCUGGAAACGGCUGCUAAUACCGCAUAAGCGCACAGAGCUGCAUGGCUCGGUGUGAAAAACUCCGGUGGUAUGGGAUGGGCCCGCGUCUGAUUAGGCAGUUGGCGGGGUAACGGCCCACCAAACCGACGAUCAGUAGCCGGCCUGAGAGGGCGACCGGCCACAUUGGGACUGAGACACGGCCCAA